UACAGAAAUGGGCUUUGUAGACACCCAACUAAAAGAUACAAAGACAGUUUUUUAUUUAACUGUCCUUAUAACUUAAUAAGGACGUCGCGUUUUAAUUUUUUACAAUCUUCCGUGUUUUUCCCUUAAGCGCAGUGUAGUAGCGGAAGUCUAGGUCGUCAUUUCUGAAACCACAACAAAAAAGAUAAAACACUAUUCACUCCCUAGAAAAUCACUCUCGCGUUCUGCUCUCUCUCUCUCCCCUCAAAUCUCUUCUGUCUCUCCUCCCAAAUCUUUCCUUUGCCUAGCCUCCUCCAUCUUCGAUAUCACCAUGACCUUGGACACCACCAUCGGCCUAUUCGAUGUCCUCCAACACGCCAAGUAUCCCGAUAACACUGUGUUCAACCUCAUCACUACGCACCAUCGCCGGGACGACCUCCACCACUUCGACUGUAACCUCGUGAAGGGCAAGAUCUCAUACUCCGGCGUUGACCAGCCUCUCAGCUAUGCGCGAAUCUAGCUGCCUAAUCUAUGUUGCUUUGCCAUAGGCACAAAGGAUGGCUUCAAAGUAUUCAAUUCUAAUACAGGGAGACUCUGCUAUGAACGAGGCAAGUUAUCCAAUUUAUUUACUCCUUGUAAUUUUUGGAAUUAACAACUGUGGUUUACAAUUUAAUUAAUUUAUUUUUGGUUAGCUAUUGGCGCUUUCGCUAUUGUUGAAAUGCUAUUUAGCUCUAGUCUUCUUGCCAUUGUUGGAGCUGGUGAAGAGCCAUCUUUAUCUCCGCGUCGUCUCUGUUUGUUCAAUACAACAAUUGGAACUGCUCUUCGAGAAUUGAACUUUUUGACUUCAAUACUUUCCGUUCGUAUGAAUAGGAAAAGCUCCCUGCUAUAAUUUCUCUAGGCUUAACUUGAGUAAUCCCUCCCCUUGUCUCUUACUCAAGAUCAAAUAAUGCAUUUGUUUCAGAUUUUAAACUAUAUAAUUAUGGAUGGGAACUUGGUUUGCCCUGCAAAGAUGGGAAGAUCUGUAGCUGUAGGUAAUCCAGAGCUCUUGUUUUUCUUAAUAGGUCUAUGCUUGUCUUAUACUUGUUUUUGUGGAUUGUGGAUUCAUGCUAUGUUAGUUAUAUGUAUAUGGCCUAUACGAUGCGUUUAUGAAAGUUGCAUUUUGGGAAUUUAUUACUUAUGUGACUUAUCUUUGUUCAGUGGAAAUAACUAUUUGAAUGCUUAGUGGCAACACAUAGGAGCUUAUAGGUGCCAUGCAAAACUCAUUAUUACAAUUUAGCCUUUUUACAAGAUAUAUAUGAAGAAACUUCUGCUUUUGCUUGCAGACAUUUAUAAUCUAAGUGAGAAAUCGUCUUUGGAGUUGAGACCAUUCAUUAAGGCUGUUUGAAAGUUGCAAUGUUUUCACUAGGUAUGUAACUAUCUAAAGGCAUGACUAAUACUAUUAGUUUUCUUGCUCGUUUGCUUUCUUAUACUGAAGAAGUUAAUCUGAUUGCUUACUGCUUCUAUCUUGUCCAGAAGUGCAAUCUCCAGAAAACCUAUUACAACUCAUUUUUUAUUUUACAGACUCUAAAACAACUUAAAUUUACACUUGUUGGUACUUCAAAAUGUGACAUAUUAUCAUCAACACUUAUUUUUCUUUACUAUUUUAUUGAUUUUUACAGUUCAAGAGUCGAGACGAAUUCAUGGACAUCCACAAUGAAUACGCUGUGGGUUGAACUUGUAUAGUUAGAUUAUUGUUAGUAGUUAUUUAUUGAAUCGUUAGUUAUUGCUUAAUAACUUUGUGCUCAUUGUAUUGUAUUUUAGUUAUAAUAGAUACAUUGGUCACUAGUCUUGUACUAAAUUAUGUAUAUUUUAAUUUUUUUUUUGUGUCAUGUAAAAGAUACAAGGACGUCUUUUCUACGUCCUAAUAGACAUUAGAUGACGUUUGUAUGAGAUA